rnacentral:rRNA from 1 species
CGGACGGGUGAGUAACACGUGGGUAACCUGCCCUUAAGUGGGGGAUAACAUUUGGAAACAGAUGCUAAUACCGCAUAAAUCCAAGAACCGCAUGGUUCUUGGCUGAAAGAUGGCGUAAGCUAUCGCUUUUGGAUGGACCCGCGGCGUAUUAGCUAGUUGGUGAGGUAACGGCUCACCAAGGCAAUGAUACGUAGCCGAACUGAGAGGUUGAUCGGCCACAUUGGGACUGAGACACGGCCCAAACUCCUACGGGAGGCAGCAUG